GAUGAACGCUGGCGGCGUGCCUAAUACAUGCAAGUCGAGCGAACGGACGAGAAGCUUGCUUCUCUGAUGUUAGCGGCGGACGGGUGAGUAACACGUGGAUAACCUACCUAUAAGACUGGGAUAACUUCGGGAAACCGGAGCUAAUACCGGAUAAUAUUUUGAACCGCAUGGUCAAAAGUGAAAGACGGUCUUGCUGUCACUUAUAGAUGGAUCCGCGCUGCAUUAGCUAGUUGGUAAGGUAACGGCUUACCAAGGCAACGAUGCAUAGCCGACCUGAGAGGGUGAUCGGCCACACUGGAACUGAGACACGGUCCAGACUCCUACGGGAGGCAGCAGUAGGGAAUCUUCCGCAAUGGGCGAAAGCCUGACGGAGCAACGCCGCGUGAGUGAUGAAGGUCUUCGGAUCGUAAAACUCUGUUAUUAGGGAAGAACAUAUGUGUAAGUAACUGUGCACAUCUUGACGGUACCUAAUCAGAAAGCCACGGCUAACUACGUG
rnacentral:rRNA from 1 species